AGUGAGAGUGAUGAGUUGCACUGUUCCGUGGGUCUGUGCUGUGACACCGACUCCACCCUGAGUCCUGAAGAGCCACACGUGCACAGGGGCCAUCUGACUCGCC